rnacentral:misc_RNA from 1 species
GAUGAAGAACGCAGCGAAAUGCGAUACUUGGUGUGAAUUGCAGAAUCCCGUGAACCAUCGAGUUUUUGAACGCAAGUUGCGCCCGAAGCCAUCAGGUUGAGGGCACGUCUGCCUGGGCGUCACAUAUCGUUGCCCAAUGCCUAUUGCAGUGCAAUAGGAAUUUCUAGGGCGAAUGAUGGCUUCCCGUGAGCGUUGUUGCCUCGCGGUUGGUUGAAAAUCGAGUCCUUGGUAGGGUGUGCCAUGGUAGAUGGUGGUCGAGUUAGAACGAUACCGAUCAUGUGCAUGCUCCCCAAAAUAUGGCCUCUAUGACCCACACGCGUCUUUUGACGCUCAUGACGAGACCUCAGGUCAGGCGGGGCUACCCGCUGAAUUUAAGCAUAUCAAUAAGCGGAGGA